UACCAGAAGGAAGAUAACAUGAUUAUAACAUGUCAAGGAAAUUAUCAGAUGAAGUUUUCCGAUCAUCACAUGUCACAAUUGUAGUGUAUGCAAAAUAGAGAAUUUAUGCCAUCAGACGUUUCUGAUCAUAGAAGCAGCCAUCUAAAGACUU